UUGGACCCUGAUAUCAAACAAGACUACCCGCUGAACUUAAGCAUAUCAUUAAGCGGAGGA
rnacentral:rRNA from 1 species